rnacentral:miRNA from 1 species
AAUUAAUUAGGAACAGAGGGA